rnacentral:tmRNA from 1 species
CCCCUUUAAUUACCCUCCUGAAGCCCUUAUAUUAAAUUUGUUCCUUCGGGGACUAUGGUGAUAAACGCGCAUGUAAUAAACGGAUCGGACCCGGGGGCGGUACCCGGCGACUCCACCAAAAAUCCCUUCAUUUGAGGGCGGUAUGGGGUCGAAAUAGGAUCGACGGACGUCUAAAGAUGUUAGCUUUUACUCGGCUGUCUGCCACCGUUAUCGGCGAAAACUGUACAAUUGCAAAUGACAAUCGUGCUCCGGUAGCUCUAGCUGCGUAAGCAGUUCGAAAUAUCGAAACUUAACUCCUAACGCCUAGCCGCGUUAGGCGGGGUUCGCAGGUACCUUGCAACAGAAACCUGCACU